rnacentral:rRNA from 1 species
GCUAGUAAUGGCAGGUCAGCAUACUGCCGUGAAUACGUUCCCGGGCCCUUGUACACACCGCCCGUCACACCAUGAGAGUUGGAAAUACCCGAAGCCUGUGAGCUAACAGUAAUGAGGCAGCAGUCGAAGGUAGAGCCAAUGAUUGGGGUGAAGUCGUAACAAGGUAAC